GACGAACGCUGGCGGCGUGCUUAACACAUGCAAGUCGAACGGAAAGGCCCUGCUUUUGUGGGGUGCUCGAGUGGCGAACGGGUGAGUAACACGUCAGUAACCUGUCCUUGACUUUGGGAUAACUUCAGGAAACUGGGGCUAAUACCGGAUAGGAGCUCCUGCUGCAUGGUGGGGGUUGGAAAGUUUCGGCGGUUGGGGAUGGACUCGCGGCUUAUCAGCUUGUUGGUGGGGUAGUGGCUUACCAAGGCUUUGACGGGUAGCCGGCCUGAGAGGGUGACCGGCCACAUUGGGACUGAGAUACGGCCCAGACUCCUACGGGAGGCAGCAGUGGGGAAUAUUGCACAAUGGGCGGAAGCCUGAUGCAGCAACGCCGCGUGCGGGAUGACGGCCUUCGGGUUGUAAACCGCUUUCGCCUGUGACGAAGCGUGAGUGACGGUAAUGGGUAAAGAAGCACCGGCUAACUACGUG
rnacentral:rRNA from 1 species